GUCUUGGCAUAGUGGUUUGAGCGUUGGACUAUGGCUCUGGAAACCAGGGUUCGAUUCCCAGCUCGGCCA